UAAGACGUAGGUGGCAAGCGUUGUCCGGAUUUACUGGGCGUAAAGCGCGCGCAGGCGGGCUGAUCAGUCCGGGGUAAAAUCUCACGGCUCAACCGUGAGUGGCCCCCGGAUACUGUCAGUCUUGAGGUGUCUAGGGGAGAGUGGAAUUCCAGGUGUAGUGGUGGAAUGCGUAGAUAUCUGGAGGAACUCCAGCGGCGAAGGCGACUCUCUGGGGACCACCUGACGCUGAGGCGCGAAAGCGUGGGGAGCAAACCGGAUUAGAUACCCGGGUAGUCCACGCCGUAAACGAUGAACACUAGCUGUUUGGGGUAUCGACCCCCUGGGUAGCGAAGCUAACGCGAUAAGUGUUCCGCCUGGGGAGUACGGCCGCAAGGCUA
rnacentral:rRNA from 1 species